UAACAUUAUGGGGGUACAUUUAAUUUAAAUUCAUAAUAGAAAGACAUUUGAUGACAGUAUGUUGGAUUUCUGUAUUCAUUUUUUCAGCUUGAUAAUAUCUAAGCACUGACAGGUAGAAGCAGUAUCACCAGGAAAUUAUUCACUUUGUCAGUAUCAUGAUUUUAGUUGUUUUUAAUCCAUAACAUUAGUGUGUUUCUUUACCAGAGACAUUAGCAGUUCAUAUUAUAUUUAGAUUUUAAAUAGGAUCUCAAGGAUUUCAUUUAAAAUAACACAGAUGCUUGUCAGAAAUUCAGAGCUAUUGAAAUAUGUUAUUUAGUUCACCUGAAGAUGUUGGGGUUUAUUUUGUUGACACAGGCCAAGUAUUAAGAUUCUGAAGCUGCACUGGCAGAUAGGAGGUCUGCAACUAAUUUAGAAAACCUGUUCACAGACAGCUGUUGUUUUAAGACACCCCACCAACAGGCUCCAAGCAGCCUACCAGUGGUGGGUCAAACACCUGAGGGCCCAGAAGCCCUGAGCGUAGACUGGAGGGGUGGGUAUCAGAUUUCUCCACACAGGUUCCUGACGCCAAAAGGGGGACCCGAGGAGCAGGAGGCCGACACAGCGGAGUUCGUCUGGCUGAAGGUCGUCAGGCCUACGUGGCUCAACCCCAGGUUCUCCGGCCUCUACAGAGUGACCCAGAGGACAUCUCAUGCCGUCCGCCGAGGAGCAAAGGGGGACAUCUGGUACUACUGGAGCCAGUGUGCGGCAGGGAAACCUCCGGCUAGGACCAUGGAGGACAUCCCUACAGCAGACGACUCGGAAGCUGUCAUCAGCGGACUGGAGGAGAAGGACCUCGCGGACAUCCCUACAGCAGACGACUCGGAAGCGGCUGUCAGCAGGCUGGGGGACUUCUCGAGGCAGCAGAGGAGUCUACUUCUCUCUGAUCAUAUUCAUCAGUUCCACCUUUGAAGGAAAGGCCGCAUCUCCCCCUCCCUAUCAGCUGCCCUUGUUGGCGUAUUCCUUUGAGGGGGAGGGGGGCCCUGAGGAUUCAACAACACGCAAGGAUGCUGCUUUCUGGCACUCAGGCAACCACUCUGAUAGUUCCUUCACUGACAU